CCGAAGGGUCGUGUAGCUGCUGUGACGGUAAGUCAUAGAGGAAAGUCCGGGCUCCAUACAAACAUAGUGCCGGAUAACGUCCGGCGGGGGGCGCCACAUUAGCCAAUUGCAAUAGCAACGCUUGUGUUGGCGCGCCUUAGGGAAAGUGCAACAGAAAAGAUACCGCUGACAUCGUCAGUAAGGGUGAAAUGGUGCGGUAAGAGCGCACCGCGUUCGUGGUAACAUGGACGGCAUUGCAAACCCCACUAGGAGCAAGGCCGAAUAGGAGUCCGUUUUCGAAAGAGAGAGCGUGUUUGUCGUUUGGACUCGGGUGGGCUGCUUGAGCUUGUUGGUAACAGCAAGCCUAGAUGAAUAGCUACAGACGGACACUGAUCACGCAAUAGCUGUACACGGUUAUAGUGGAUUUGCGUCGUCGUACGUAAAGAUCGUAAUGUGAUCGUGAUGCGCACAGACGAGGCAAGUGUCCUGAACAGAACCCGGCUUAUAGGCCCUUCGCGAGA
rnacentral:RNase_P_RNA from 1 species